GGAAAUGUCCAUGCCUCCAUGGUAGCGGGUGGUUGGUUGGAAGUGCGUGCCGAAUGGCUAUCUUUUCAUCUUAGCUGUCUCUGUCCCUCGCCGCAUCUUGUCCUCAGCAGCAUUGACUUCACCAGAGCGAGCAAUGGAGGAGCAGAAGAAUCUGGUUCUGUUCGCCGGCGGCGAGGAGGAGACUGAGAAGGAGAAGGCGGGGCUCGACUUCGAGCCUUCGGAGGACGAGCUGGUGCUGCACUUCCUGCGUCCGCAGCUGCGUGGGUUCGCUCCCCGGGUGCCGGGCGCCGUGGUGGAGGCGGACCCCUGCGCGGCGACGCCGUGGGAGCUGCUGGCGCGGCACGGGCUCCUCCAGCGCGGGCACGGGUACUUCUUCGCGGCGCGGCGGCGGGGCAACGCCGUGGUGCGGCGCACCCCGGCGGGCGGCGGCGGCUCGUGGAUGCACAGCGGGAACCGGGAGCACGGGCGGUCGGUGACGGCGCUGGGCGUGGUGGCGCGCUGGUCCAGGACCAGGUACGGCUUCUACGUGCUCGGCGGGGCGGAGGGGCGGCGGAGCACCGGGUGGGUGAUGACGGAGUACGAGAUCACGGACCCGCUGUGCUACCGCCGCGCGGACGAGGGCGCGGAGGACGAGUACUGGGUGCUCUGCCACGUCCGCCGGAGCUGCAGGACCAACGCCGGCAAGCCGUCCAGCCGGCGGCGCUCGCUUGUUCUUGCUAGCAUCUAGCUAGCUGGGCACCUGUCCACCGCGCGACCGGCGAGCUCGGUGAUAGUAGUAGAUCUCAGGCAAUGGAUGGUUGACCUUGUUGGAUUCGACCACUCCAUCUUUGACGUGUGUGUGGACUGUGGAUGGAUGGUUAAAGAAAGGAAUCAAGAAAAUACUAAACCUCUGCGGCGCCUCUGCUCCGAUCUUGGCCUGCAAGUGAACAAUGC